GGGCUUGUAGCUCAAUGUAGAGCAACCGGCAGUUUCAUCCGUAAACUGUCCGAGUAUCUUGUGGGUUCAAAUCCCACCAAGCCCU
rnacentral:tRNA from 1 species